AGCGUGGAGACAGGUGGUGCAUGGUUGUCGUCAGCUCGUGUCGUGAGAUGUUGGGUUAAGUCCCGCAACGAGCGCAACCCUCACCUCUUGUUGCCAUCAGGUCGUGCUGGGCACUCUAGAGGAACUGCCCCGGUCAACGGGGAGGAAGGCGGGGAUGACGUCAAGUCAUCAUGCCCCUUACGUCCUGGGCUACACACGUGCUACAAUGGCCGGUACAAAGGGAUGCCACACCGCGAGGUAGAGCUAAACCCAAAAAGCCGGUCUAAGUUCAGAUUGGAGUCUGCAACUCGACUCCACGAAGGAGGAAUCGCUAGUAAUCGCGUAUCAGCACGACGCGGUGAAUACGUUCCCGGGCCUUGUACACACCGCCCGUCACACCACGAAAGCCUGCUGUACUCGAAGUCGCUGAG
rnacentral:rRNA from 1 species